rnacentral:guide_RNA from 1 species
AAAAACAUAAAAAGAAACUUAUAAGUAGAGUGAUAGAUUAUAAUU